GACGAACGCUGGCGGCGUGCCUAACACAUGCAAGUCGAACGGAGUUGAAAGGAGCUUGCUUUUUUCAACUCAGUGGCGGACGGGUGAGUAACGCGUGAGUAACCUGCCUUUCAGAGGGGGAUAACGUUCUGAAAAGAACGCUAAUACCGCAUAAGAUUGUAGCUUCGCAUGGAGUAGCAAUCAAAGGAGCAAUCCGCUGAAAGAUGGACUCGCGUCCGAUUAGAUAGUUGGCGGGGUAACGGCCCACCAAGUCGACGAUCGGUAGCCGGACUGAGAGGUUGAUCGGCCACAUUGGGACUGAGACACGGCCCAGACUCCUACGGGAGGCAGCAGUGAGGGAUAUUGGGCAAUGGGGGAAACCCUGACCCAGCAACGCCGCGUGAGGGAUGACGGUUUUCGGAUUGUAAACCUCUGUCCUCUGUGAAGAUAGUGACGGUAGCAGAGGAGGAAGCUCCGGCUAACUACGUGCCAGCAGCCGCGGUAAUACGUAGGGAGCAAGCGUUGUCCGGAUUUACUGGGUGUAAAGGGUGCGUAGGCGGAUUGGCAAGUCAGAAGUGAAAUCCAUGGGCUUAACCCAUGAACUGCUUUUGAAACUGUUAGUCUUGAGUGAAGUAGAGGUAGGCGGAAUUCCCGGUGUAGCGGUGAAAUGCGUAGAGAUCGGGAGGAACACCAGUGGCGAAGGCGGCCUACUGGGCUUUAACUGACGCUGAGGCACGAAAGUGUGGGUAGCAAACAAGAUUAGAUACCCUGGUAGUCCACACUGUAAACGAU
rnacentral:rRNA from 1 species